CAUGAGGAAAGCUUGCUUUCCUUGAUGACGACUGGCGCACGGGUGAGUAACGCGUAUCCAACCUUCCCAUAACUACGGGAUAACCCGUUGAAAGACGGCCUAAUACCGUAUGAUAUCGUUUGCUGACAUCAAAUAACGAUUAAAGGUUUAGCGGUUAUGGAUGGGGAUGCGUCUGAUUAGCUUGUUGGCGGGGUAACGGCCCACCAAGGCAACGAUCAGUAGGGGUUCUGAGAGGAAGGUCCCCCACAUUGGAACUGAGACACGGUCCAAACUCCUACGGGAGGCAGCAGUGAGGAAUAUUGGUCAAUGGGCGAGAGCCUGAACCAGCCAAGUAGCGUGCAGGAUGACGGCCCUAUGGGUUGUAAACUGCUUUUAUGUGGGGAUAAAGUGCGUGACGUGUCAUGCAUUGCAGGUACCACAUGAAUAAGGACCGGCUAAUUCCGUGCCAGCAGCCGCGGUAAUACGGAAGGUCCGGGCGUUAUCCGGAUUUAUUGGGUUUAAAGGGAGCGAAGGCUGUCUAUUAAGCGUGUUGUGAAAUUUACCGGCUCAACCGGUGGCUUGCAGCGCGAACUGGUCGACUUGAGUAUGCAGGAAGUAGGCGGAAUUCAUGGUGUAGCGGUGAAAUGCUUAGAUAUCAUGACGAACUCCGAUUGCGCAGGCAGCUUACUGUAGCAUAACUGACGCUGAUGCUCGAAAGUGCGGGUAUCAAACAGGAUUAG
rnacentral:rRNA from 1 species